GUUGGCAGAAAGACCCUCUGGAAAUGAAGCCUGUGGUAGCUCCUUAAGUCACUGGGAACUUGCCCAUGGCAGAUGUGGUCAGAUUUAUUGCUCCCCAUUUCGAAGAUGGGAAUGGAGGCACAGUUGUCCCGUCACUCACUCAUUGGUGUGGCGGGGAAGAGACCCAAGGUCAUGUGAGGGGCAGAAGGUCUGCUCCAGACAGCCUGUGAUCUCAACCACUAGACUUAAGAAAAACAUGAAGAUGGGCCUGAAGGUCUAAGCCAGAUGGAGUUCCAGCACUGAGAGGGGAAGUGGACACAACCCCCCUUCCCUAACCAAGAUGCGAUCUCCAGUGACAACUGCUCAAAAAGAAAAUUUUUUCUCCAUCCAAGUCUCACAUUAAAGGACAAGCCCCAUUCGCAGCACUAGAUGACCAACGCAAAACGGAGUAUUUGGGCAGGAUUUUUUCGUCUAACAAUGCUUUCUCUGGACAAUUUUUAUUACCUUGCAGGACUUUUAUUUAUAUAUCAUGGUUUCCAAUUUUGUGUUUUUUAUGGGAUUUCUGUAUGUGUUUCUGAUUCUGUUGUGGU